rnacentral:rRNA from 13 species
AAGUAUGCGAGUCAUAUACUGGAAAGGUAUAAGGCGUACUGAAAGGGAAGCGCGUAUGUCCGCGUGAGGUGUCAACCCGUUGUGCGGGGUUAUGCCCCGCACCCGGGUGCAACACCGGCCGAGACUUGGCCAUGGGCCGGGUUUUUGAGCCUGAGCAUACAUGUUGGGACCCGAAAGGUGGUGAUCUAUGCCUGAACAGGACGAAGCCGAGGGAAACCUGGGUGGAGGUCCGUAGCGAUGUUGACGUGCAAAUCACUCGUUGGAUUUGGGUAUAGGGGCGAAAGACUCAUCGAACCACCUAGUAGCUGGUUCACCCCGAAGUUUCCCUCAGGAUAGCUGGUGACAGUAAAGCAGUCGUGUGCGGUAAAG